ACAGGCCGCGUUAGUGCCCGCCCGCCCGGCUCCCGGAGUGCGCAGGCGCGGGGGCGCGCUCCCGCUCCCUCCCGUGCGCGCUCCCGGGCCUCGGGCCGCGGCAGCAGAGGGAGCCCGCGGUCGGGCCCCGCGCGGCCAGCGGUGGCCAGGGCCAGGGCGCGCAGGACUCUAAGAUGGCGGCCGAGGACCCGGGGCCUCCUCCCCCUCAGCCGCGCGGGUCCCUCACCCCCCUCCCGGCGGCGCGACGCGGCGCGGCCCCGCCUCAUCUCCCGGGGCGCGGCCGGUACCUGCGUGUGAGGUCAGGGGCUGGGGGCACCGGAGAGCGCGCCGCUUCCUGCUCCCGUCCCGCCUCCACCGCGCCCUCCCCUCCGCCGCCAUCUUGUGUCGGGACCGGAGGAGCCAGUGCGCAGCCGCUGCGCCGCCCCGCCCCGCCCCGGGUACUGCGCAAGCUCCUUACCCUAAACUUUCUCCUCUCCCUCUCUGCUGCCACAGGGCUCCAGAAUCCUGUCCCUGACCCCCUCAGCAGCAGAACAGGUACCUGGCGGGUCCUGCACCAGUCGGGUGGGUGUCGGGGAGCUGGGCUGGUUCUGGUUAGAGGUACCAGACAGGAAAAUGGAAGCAGAGAGAGAGUGAUUCUUCUCAACUCACUGAAGACAGCGUGGCAGAGCAUACUACAAACCCAGGUCCCCUUAUACCCAGUCCUUCUCUCUCCAGUGGACCAUGCUGAUGGGAAUAUUUGGAGGAGCAGUUUGGCCUGUAUCUCACCAAUGCUGGGACUUAAAGUGGAUCCAAAAUAACCAUUAUCUAUUGGUUGUGUUGUGUUGUGUAUAGUACUUUACAGACAUAAGAUCUGGUCCCUGCCCCAAAGAGCUUAUAACCUGGAAGUGGUAACUACCAAAACAGAGUACAGUAUGGUGGAAGAACACACAGCAAGGGAGUACAGCCAGAAGGAGCCUGAUUUGUUCCACUUCAUCAAUAGGGGAUUUUACAUGUUUCGCUCUAUAAUCAGACAGAAGGACGGAUGCAGACAUUAGGAAUUAGCAGGAGAGAGGGGAGAAAUUUUGAAGAUCUUUCCCGUCAUCCCAAAGACAGGGCUGCUCACUGGGGCUGGGAGAGUUGACCACCAUCACAACUCAUUUCUGCACUGCUUUUGGGUGCCAGUCUCGCAGCUCAGCCUACGGAACUGUGCCAGGCUCCGGCCGCAGCCAGGAGGGAGUCACCAGAGCCUCCCCCCUCUGCCUGUCCCUGCCACGGUGCCAGGCCCCGGCAGCGGAAUGCUCUGCUGCCAACAGUAGCAGUGUAGCCAUGGGAGGUGCUGCGUGGGCAUGCAGAGAGCCGUGUAGGGAUGUAUACACCAGGGUUCAAGCGUGUAGGGUGCUCUACUUGCCCAAGCUAAGCCUCACUGUUCCCCCUGCCAUUUAUAGCAGUUCUUUAUAGCCAUGCUAGCUGGGCGUGCAGUGUAGACAUACCUUAAAGCAUCUUCCAGAAAGGCCUCUAGUCUGGCUCUGAAGGUGUCAAGAAGUGGAGAAUCCUGCACUUCCCUUAGUAGUUUGUGGCAAACUGUCCUGCAGUGGCUCAAGAGUGUGAGGACUAAGCUCAGGGCAGACUGUUCCCAACCAGCGAUCAAGUGCAAACUCCUUGGGCUCCAUAACAGCCUAACCAGAGCGUCACAGCGUCUCCGUGGGCACUCUGGGCUGUCUCGCCACCCAGGGACCCUGCCUUUGUGACAUGGUCCCUUACAUUGAGUAUCCCAGCAACAUUUGGAUUCAAGGACAAGUCACUUAUCCAGGUCAAUUGUACUUUAGAUCUCACACCACAGACAAUGCUUGUAGUCAAUCCUAUAAUAAACUAUCCACAGACUUAUUAACUAGGAAAAGGAAACAGGAGUUAUUGACAAGGUUAAAGCAGGCAAACACACAAAUCUCAAGCUUCAGAAAUAACAGAAACGUCUACAAUAAGCAAGCUCUAGAUGUCCUUUGGGGUAACCCAAGCAAAGAAUGGGGAAUUUUUUGCUUAUGCCUAGAAAUCUUGUCCCCACAGUCCAAGCAGCAUAAAGAUACUGUUCCUCCUUG